rnacentral:rRNA from 2 species
CCCUGGCUCAGGAUGAACGCUGGCGGCGUGCUUAACACAUGCAAGUCGAACGAUGAUCCCAGCUUGCUGGGGGAUUAGUGGCGAACGGGUGAGUAACACGUGAGUAACCUGCCCUUAACUCUGGGAUAAGCCUGGGAAACUGGGUCUAAUACCGGAUAUGACUCCUCAUCGCAUGGUGGGGGGUGGAAAGCUUUAUUGUGGUUUUGGAUGGACUCGCGGCCUAUCAGCUUGUUGGUGAGGUAAUGGCUCACCAAGGCGACGACGGGUAGCCGGCCUGAGAGGGUGACCGGCCACACUGGGACUGAGACACGGCCCAGACUCCUACGGGAGGCAGCAGUGGGGAAUAUUGCACAAUGGGCGAAAGCCUGAUGCAGCGACGCCGCGUGAGGGAUGACGGCCUUCGGGUUGUAAACCUCUUUCAGUAGGGAAGAAGCGAAAGUGACGGUACCUGCAGAAGAAGCGCCGGCUAACU